AUGGCUCUAAAGUACAAUUUGCUUCUUGGUAAGACUUUAAUUAAACAAAUACAUGCACGACCACAAGAUAGGUACCUUCCUCUGUUGCUGCUAAGUGUUCAUAUCUCCUGGCCACUACUUAACAGUAAAGGACAGCUCUCCCGAAGAGAGAUACUGUCCUUGGCAUGCCUAUAAAUUGAACUACUCUUGAACACUUCUGAGUAUCCAUUGUUCUGUUGAAUGCACUUUGUGCUUUCUCCUCUUUGUCACUGGAUAUGGUUCAAACCCAAGAGCAAGAGGGACAGCUAUAGUGCUGAAUCAUUAGAGGUUAGUCUUGUAGUUAAAUAGCACCAUUUCUUUCCAAUCCUACUGAGCUACUAUCACAAACAAAAAGUGUAGCUAAAAUUUUGUACUUCUGUAGUUAACCCUGUCAAUAACAUAUCACCCACUGUAUGUAAGGUCUCCUUAAGUACUAAAUAUAAAACAGCAGUCAAAUCAUCUGUAAAUCGUUUCUUUCUAGCGAUUUCAGUGGCAUCCGGAAUUACCCCGCCCCCUCUAAACAAUAGGCCGCCGCUAUCUGCUUUCUGUCUCCACAACUUUCGUUGCUCAAGAACUGUCCGCAUCCACAAUGGUAGAGCAGUAGAAGAAGAACACACUGGUAUAAGUUUCUAGUCAGCACGCGCCGCAGUUACCGAGUAAUGUACGGGAAGUACAAGUCAUCCGAAAUUACCCCGGAUUACCCUAGUAUCAUGAUUUACUUCUUCCAGAGCUCCCUUCUUCCAAUCUUGAUGUCUUUUUGUCCUGGUUAAACCAGGCUUGUUGUUGUGGACAGCGUGAGCUACGUCUGAGACACCCUACAGGUUCUUCCCGUUAGCGGUGUACAUUUGGCCAACAUCCCGCCCCCUGAAUGGGACCUCGUUGUCGAAUCUUGCUGGAGCAACCACUUGACGCACAUGGUCGUGUUCAUGACAGUUCGGGACUUGGAGAAACAACGCGUCGUGUGUUCGGGCGACCGUGCCAAAUAUACGGGAACUUUUGAAAGAUAAAAGGGUGGCAUGUUCCGUAGACUGGGCGGCGCGUGUGAAGUCACAGAUCGAUCAAUUUUGGGUCAGCAGUUGCAGACAGGUGAGUUCUGUUGUUUAUAUCCGACAGGUCCUAGCAAUCGCAAACAUGAAUUACACUGUUCUGGUAAUAAAACUCUCUCAAGGAAGUUUUUCGCGUACGAUUGGCUGUACGACAAAAAGGAAUUAAUGCUUCGUGAUUGGGCCACACUAAGAAAGUGUGGCACAUUCCUGCAGCGUGACAGAUAUAACCAGCCGGCCAGCCAGCCAGCCAGCCAGCCAGCCAGCCAGCCAGCCAGCCAGCCAGCCAGCCAGCCAGCCAGCCAGCCAGCCAGCCAGCCAGCCAGCCAGCCAGCCAGCCAGCCAGCCAGCCAGCCAGCCAGCCAGUCACAAGUCCCCAGACCGGAAGUCGGUUCAACCCUGUACGGUUCAUAGCUGAACUAGUAAUUGAAGCUGUGUUUGCACCGUCGCUUCUACAGCUAGAAGCCUUCAAAGUCCUGAACACCGCGUACGCUAGCAGCAAUUGUCGCGAAGAAUUACGAAUAUACACGCUAUUUUCUUUCUAGACGUGCUACUUGUAACAUGUAUUUAUAAUCCUA